rnacentral:rRNA from 1 species
ACUCCUACGGGAGGCAGCAGUGGGGAAUAUUGCACAAUGGGGGAAACCCUGAUGCAGCCAUGCCGCGUGUGUGAAGAAGGCCUUCGGGUUGUAAAGCACUUUCAGUAGGGAGGAAGGUAGUGUAGUUAACACCUGCAUUAUUUGACGUUACCUACAGAAGAAGCACCGGCUAACUCCGUGCCAGCAGCCGCGGUAAUACGGAGGGUGCGAGCGUUAAUCGGAAUUACUGGGCGUAAAGCGCAUGCAGGCGGCCUGUUAAGUCAGAUGUGAAAGCCCGGGGUCUUAACCUCGGAAUUGCAUUUGAAACUGGCAGGCUAGAGUCUUGUAGAGGGGUUAGAAUUUCAGGUGUAGCGGUGAAAUGCGUAGAGAUCUGAAGGAAUACCAGUGGCGAAGGCGGCCCCCUGGACAAAGACUGACGCUCAGAUGCGAAAGCGUGGGAGCAAACAGGAUUAGAUACCCCGUGGUAGACUGUCA